rnacentral:rRNA from 1 species
GAUGAACGCUAGCGGCAGGCUUAAUACAUGCAAGUCGUGGGGCAGCGGGGUGUAGCAAUACAUUGCUGGCGACCGGCAAACGGGUGCGCAACACGUACGCAACUUUCCUUUAGGCGGGGCAUAGCCCAGAGAAAUUUGGAUUAAUACCCCAUAACAUUUUGAGAUGGCAUCAUCUUAUUAUUAAAGCUUCGGCACCUAAAGAUGGGCGUGCGGCUGAUUAGAUAGUUGGCGGGGUAACGGCCCACCAAGUCUACGAUCAGUAGCUGAUGUGAGAGCAUGAUCAGCCGCACGGGCACUGAGACACGGGCCCGACUCCUACGGGAGGCAGCAGUAAGGAAUAUUGGUCAAUGGAGGCAACUCUGAACCAGCCAUGCCGCGUGAAGGAUGAAGGUCCUCUGGAUUGUAAACUUCUUUUAUAUGGGACGAAACACUUUCUUUCUAGAGAGCUUGACGGUACCAUAGGAGUAAGCACCGGCUAACUCCGUGCCAGCAGCCGCCGUAA